rnacentral:tRNA from 1 species
CUGAUUAGCUCAGUUGGUAGGGCACUCCACUGGAUAUGGAGAGGUCCCUGGUUCGCGAUACCAGGACCAG